CCUCAAGUACCCGAAGUUAUGGAAUAUAUCUUUCCAGGAUAAAAUGAAUCACUUCGACAGAAUAGUGGUACCUCAACUUCUAUCAAACUACGAACUCACUCAACGACAACAAAUCACACUAGAGUUUGUUUUUUUUCAAGAAAGAGGAGUAUUUUUAUUCACAAUUUUAUGUUCAUACUUGAGAAAAAAUCCAGGUAUUUAUAUCCAUCAAUGUGUUGGUUCAUGAAGAGAAGCAAUGGUUUAGAAAGAUGCACCCCUCCAUAAAGGUGCAACUCUUUGGAGAAGUCACAACCCUUUGGAAAGCUUGUCACACCCCUUUUUAACUCCAAAAGAUUUCAAUUUUAAGUUCGAAAGAGUUUUUAUUAUUAAAGUGACAAAAUGAAGUAUUUGUUCUGAAAAAAGAUUUAUUUCAAUUAAACUCAGAGUCGCCACUUGGUAUAAUUUUGUGUGCCAAGUCAACUUUUGAAAAAUCCUUUUCAAAAUGAUUUGACUCAAUAAACUGGUUUGCGACCAGAGAUUCCGACUAAAGAAUUCUGUUGAUCGAGGGGAAGGUGUUAGGCACCCUUCGAUCCCGUGGUUCGACCACGGUCGCUUGGUGGAGUAUAUCGACUAAUUAGACACUACGAAUGUAUAAACCACACAAAAGCACAUAAAACAAUCAAUCAAACACACAAAAUAAAACAAAUCCAAAAUAUAGUAUCCUGUCCAAUUAUAUAGUCUAAAAAUAGAAAACAUGCGAAAAUAUAAAUCCCAUUCUAAGAUAAUCCUAAAACUACGCUCCAAUGUCUUACCCGAUGCCUCGGGCCUUGAUCACGAGCCUCCUUUGCAUAUAUGAUAUGUCGGGGCAUUCCUCGGAUAAAUCAAUACAAAUUCCUCGGGGCAUUUCCCGACCAAAUGAGUACAUUUUUAAAGCGAUAAAAUGGAAAAAAUUACUCAACAGACAGAUUUACACACUCGAGGAUUAGAAUCCUAUGAGUUGCCUACCCCAAAAUCUAGAAUUUGCCUAUCAAUUAAUGUCCUAAUCAUGCCACUAUCGUGUUCAACAAUAUUCAUACUUAAAUCAAAGUCUUAAUCAAUCCAAAUUCACCCUUUUGUCAAUUCCUCAAUUCCACGCCCGAAUUCAAUCUCAACAUGAUUAAACUAAUUCCAUACGUGGUUCACCAAUCAAAAUUUUACAUCCAACUCUAACACCAAAUAAUACACAACGGAGAUUCAAACAUGGUAAGCACAUGAAACAUUCACAAUUACAUUAAAAUUAAAGCGAGAAAAGAUAAAAUUGGACCUCAAUGUUUCUUUUAUUCGAUCAACUUGUAUCGAUUUCAACAGCCACGAAAGCCUCGUUAACCGAUGAACCCCGAAACAGACCCAACAAUGAAACCAAGCCUCGGUAUUUCAAAUUUUGUUCUAUUUUUCACCAAUUCAAACAAAAUCGCGGAAAAUAGACAAAAACAACCCAAAAUCAAAACUUCCAAGAUGAAGCUGAGAACCCGUGUGAUGAUUUUCGGCGAGACCUCAGUGUUUUCCGGCCGAUUUCAUCUAAAAAAAUACUAGAAAAAGAGAAAUUUUGGGAUUACGGAGGUGGACCGGCCUAAUCGCGAUGUAGAGUCGAUUCCGGCAAAGGUUUCGCUGGAAAGCUGGUUCCCUUUUCCCUUUUCAGUCCAUUUUUUUUGUAUCUUUUCUCUCUUUCGAUCUCUCACUCUCGAUCUCCCUUCCGUCCUCUCUCAGUCCCUCUAUGCGUAUGUGAGCAGUGUGUGCGCGUAAGUGUAUUUCCGAUAAGGACGAGUGGUGUGUGCGAUUUCUGGUGUAGAAGAGAGAGGUGAGUGUGUCUUUUGAUGAAUAAGAGAGAAAAAGAAAAAAAAAAUGUUUCUCUGUUGGUCCAGAGAAAGAAAGAAAAAUGGCGUUCCUUCCUUUUGUUCAAGAUGAUGAUUUUCUUCCCCUUCUUUACUGUAUGUGUAUGUCCUUUUAUGAAAUUGGAAAAAGAUCCCAAGAAGGAAUCUUUUCGGUGGGGCCCCCUUUUACUUUUUUUUUUUCUUUUACUCCUGUGUAUACAUGGAAUUGGCAAAGACGUGUAAACAAAGCUAGGUAGGAGGAGGGGCUCACGUGAGGUGGGGUGACGGGGUGUGGGGAUGAUAUGUCCUCUUUUUAUUAAAAAAGAUUGUUGGAAUGAUUAAAAUAAGAUAAAAUUUGUUAAAAAUUUUGUUAUGAGUUGUUAUUUUUGUAUUUUUGUGGGAAAUAAUUAAACGGGGUAGGAUACGUGGUAGGACGAGAGUAAAAAAAUGGAUAAAAUUAGACUUCGGGAGGGACGAAAUUACGUGUCUACAUCAUGCCCCCUUUGAAUGUAAACACGCAGUGUUUUCAGACAAAGAAAUAGACAACGAGACAAAAUUUUAUCCUAAUCAUUUUUCAAAAGAAGAAACAAAAGGAAGAAGGACAACCGAGUCUUGACUUAGGACAUCCUACCUACCCAAGUUAUGAGGGUGUCAAGUCGCAGGUAUCUUAAAGGAUUGAAAGGAGAUGGACAAUACCGAGUUGGAGAGUCGAGUGAGGUCCCGUCGAGGUUCUGGUUCGCGGCUCUGUUAUUACAUCAAAAUAAAAAUUACAAGUUAAAACAUAAAUAAAAUUACAAAAUUCUAUCUAUGCAACUUUUCUUGACUCUUGACUUGCUACUUCAUCACCCUAUUUUUCAGGCGGGCUCAUGACUUGCAAUUUCUUCAACUUGUUGCAUGACUUUAAAUUUCUUCACUCUAUUCUCCAUGUGGUCUCCUGACUUGCUAUUUUUCAAUUUGUUAACUUUCAAUUUAUUUACCUUGUUGCUUGGCUUUCAACUUCUUCACCUUGUUGCUUGACUUUCCAUUUUUUUUCACCCUAUUCUUUGGGUGGCUCCUGAAAUCACAUCAAAACUAGAAAGAAAAUUAUUCCAAACAUAGUUAUUGUAAAGGGAAAUUUCGUUUGCCAUAAAAGUAAAUUUUCAAAACAGAAAUUAAAUUUUUUGCCAUAAUUUAUCAUCAGAAGACUUUUGAUAAAGUCACAUCAUACCUACUUGCAUGUUGCAAUGAUGAAUUAAGACUGACUAAGAAAUGCAUCUCUUGAGAGUAUAAUUGAAUUAUCAAGAUUAGGAAGUGUGUCUCCUAAGAAUUAAAGUGAGGGAUUCUGCCUAGAAAGUACAUCUUCUAGAGAUAUAAGUUUUAAUUAAAAAACGUGCCACCAGACAAAUGAAAACUAGCAAGGAAGUGCGUCUCCUAAGGGUUAAAUGUGAUAACCCGACUAGAAAGUGCAUCUUCAAGAAAUCAAGGGGACUGACUCAACUAGGAAGUCCAUCUACUAGGAAUCAAGACUUAAGUUAGGAAGUGCAUCACUUAAAAAAUAAAAUUUGAAUUACUCAAUCAAGGAAGUGCAUUUUCUUACCAAUGUUGCUUGAAUUAUCAAAAUAAGGAAGUGCAUCUCCUUACCAAUGCCACUUGAAUUACCAAAAUAAGGAAGUGUUUCUCCUUACAAAUGUUGCUUGAAUUACCCAAACAAGGAAGUACGUCUCCUUACAAAUACCGCUUGAAUUACCAAAUGUAACACCCCGUACUUAAUUACGUGCAUUAGUCAUUGUUAUAUGUGUUGGAGUAUAUGUAUUGAUCCUAAGUUAGGUAUAUAUGAGUUUAAGUAUGAGUAUUGAUUAUUUUGAGAUGGUUUCAAGUGUAUAGUUUGAUUAUAGGUGUAUAGGAAUCGACUUUAUUUAUACCGGAAUUUUCCCGUCGAUGGUUCCAUACGAAGGUUAUUGAAUAAGCUUUCCAACGAUAUAAAGAUUUCCAAAAACGGAUAAGUUUCGGAUAUAAGCGAGCUCGUUCGAAACUUUAAAACGGUGGCCGGGAUGUGAACAGUAAAUGUGCAGGAAAACUACUGAGGCCUGCCAGUUUUUUGGGUCAACUUUGAACGAUCAUAACUACCUCAAUAUAAUGAACUGGAAGAGCUACCACAUAUCAAAAGAAAGAUCUUUGAGUCUUCUUUCCAAUGCAAUUGGUUUCAUCCAAAUCCAACAUCUGAGUAAGGAGUUAUACUCGUUUUACUUCAGCCUCUCAAAACAGAUUUUUAGGGUCAACUUCAAACGAUCAUAACUACUUGUACAGGACGAACUGGGUGGAUUAAUUUAUAUUAAAUGAAAGACCUUUGAAUUAUCUUUCUAACGAUACCAAUUUCACCCAAAUCCGAUAUCGGAGCAAAGAGUUAUGGCCGAUUUACUUUAGCCUAUCAAAACUCCUUGUACAAGACGAACUGGGUGUCCUACUUUAUAUUAAAUGAAAGACCUUUGAAUUAUCUUUCUAACGAUACCAAUUUCACCCAAAUCCGAUAUCGGAGCAAAGAGUUAUGGCCGAUUUACUUUAGCCUAUCAAAACAGUCCACCAUGGACAGAUUCGGAUUUACUUAAAUUUUUAAGGGCAAUAUGGUCAUUUUCCAUCACCUCAUGGACGAAAAUUGGUCAUUAUAUACAUAUAAUUAGUCUCAUAUCCAUCAAUUAUCAUCAAAUUAUUGAAAAUAAGAAACCCUAGCCUAAUUUCAACUCCAAAUAUCUUGUGAUUCAACCGUAGAAAAUCCAAAUUGAUUCCGUAGUUGUGUUCACCAUCUCAAGGGCUUCGAGAAGCACCCCUUAUUUGUGCCAACAGGACUUCGAAAUCAAAAGGGCCAUUUUAUGGUAAGGAUGUAAAUUAUGUUGGUGUUAUUUAUAUGGAUAUGUAUAUAUAUAUAUAUAUGCAUGUGAGCAUAAGAAGUAUGUUAUUUGAUUGUUGUUGAAAGAUGAUUGGAAAUGAUGUUGGAUUAUUCUUGUGCAUGGUUGGAUUAUGUUAAAUUGUGAAGGAAUUUGGGGUGAUGAUGUAGUAUUGAUGAUGUGGUAUUGAAAUGAUGAUUAUAUAUAUAUACACACAUAAACCUAUUGUUCAAGUUGGUUUUUGGAAUGUUUUGCAAAUAUUGGUAGUAUGGAAUUAUGGAAGAGAAUUGUGGUGUUGGGUUGCUAAUACUAGAUGCCAAACAUUUCAUUGUAGAUAAGUGAUUUGUAAAGGCGGGAAGUUGUGUUGAAUUGGUAUCCGAAUCUACAACGAGGUAUGUAAAGCAUACUCUAACAAUGUUCUUUGGCAUGAAAACACCAAUGUUCCAUCAAGUAAGAUUCCGAGGUUGUCCAAAAACAUGUAUUGUUCUACGUUACCAACGAAGUUGUUUCCAUCCUAUAAAGUGUCAAAAUGUUCAUUGAUAUACCAAAAGGCUCUUAUUUCAUUGUUGUGAUAUUGAUGAUUCUGAAACACAUUGUUGAUGUACCAAUGAGUCUUUAUUACAUCGUUAUUGUAUAGAAGGUCUAUUACUUGGUUCCUAUUGAUGUAUCAUUGUUUCAAAGUAUCAAAAAUGUGGUGGCGACCGAAAUAACAAUCUCAAAGAUUAAUUGAACUAAGUGAUGGAAGUUCUCUCUUAUCGGGUGGUAUCCCAGGGGCAUAAGCCUAGCAUGGGUCGAUCCCUAUUUCAUGUGUUUAUGGGUGGUAUCCCAGGGGCAUAAGCCUAGCAUGGGUCGAUCCCAGUUGAUAUGUACUGGAGGCAUCCUAAUGGUCACAGUACAGUACAGUAAUGAUUACAAAGACGAUAAGAACGAAGGUAAAGUGAUUGAAUAAAUACAAUGUACAGGUUGUCACAAGUUCUAGUAAGUGUGGUCCACUCCUAUUACGACUUAUUCACUUGUUUCUGAUUUCUAUUGAGCUCCUAUAUCAUAUGUGAUUAUUUACAGCUUUACAUACUCAGUACAUAUUUCGUACUGACGUCCCUCACGGGGGACCUGCAUUUCAUGCUGCAGGCACAGGUACCUCAGCUCAUACACCGCACAAGUAGGAGCCAGGUCAUACAGCUAUUGUUGGUGAGCUCCAGUUUGCUUCGGAGCUUUCUGAGUCGGUUCCUUAUGUUUUGUUAUUGUACAUGAGUCAUGUGUGGGCGGGGGUUUAUCCCGACCCUAGUUAUGUCAUGUAUAUCCUGGAGGCUUUGUAGACAUAAGGAAGGGUAAAGUCAUGGAAGUUUAUAUAGUAACGCUAUAUUUGUAGAUGUGGUGGCCCCGACGGCCAAGUAUUAUAUAUAUAUAUUUGUGCGUGUUGUGCUGAUACAGGUAAUUAGACCUUUCUAUAUGCAACGAAGUGCUGUCCAAUUUUUUGGUGACAUGUAAGUGAAAGUACAGGUAUUUGAACGGGUUCUCCCGGGCCUUCUCGGCUUCGGAUGCCAGUCCGGCCCGAUGAGAUUUUGGGGCGUGACACCAAACAAGAAAGUGUGUUUCCUUAUAAAUGUUGCUUGAAUUACCAAACAAGGAAGUGCGUUUCCUUACAAAUGUUUCUUGAAUUGACCAAACAAGAAAGUGUGUCUCCUUACAAAUGUUGCUUGAAUUCCCCAAAUAAGUAAGUGCGUCUCCUUACAAAUGUUGCUUGAAUUAACUAAACAAAGAAAUGCGUCUCCUUACAAAUGUUGUUUGAAUUAACUAAAUAAGAAAGUGUGUCUCCUUACAAAAGUUGCUUGAAUUAACUAAACAAAGAAGUGCGUCUCCUUAUAAAUGUUGCUUGAAUUAACUAAAUAAGGAAGUGCGUCUCCUCACAAAUGCCGCUUGAAUUACCCAAACAAGGAAGUGUGUCUCCUUACAAAUAUUUCUUGAAUUGACCAAACAAGGAAGUGCGUCUCCUUACAAAUGUUGCUUGAAUUCCCCAAACAAUAAAGUGCGUCUCCUUACAAAUGUUGCUUGAAUUAACUUAACAAGGAAGUGUGUCUCUUUACAAAUGUUGCUUGAAUUAACUUAACAAGGAAGUGCGUCUCCUUACAAAUGUUGCUUGAAUUAACUAAACAAGGAAGUGCAUCUCCUUACAAAUGUCACUCAAAUUAUCCAUACAAAGAAAUGCGUCUCCUUACAAAUGCCACCUGAAUUUUCCAAGGAAAUGCGUCUCCUUGAGAAGGAAAUGUGCCUCCUAGAGAUCUUGAAUUAUGAGUUUCACCAUGGUUUUGAUUACCAAACCAGUGCAGCAACAUUGUCUCUUGCAUUUGUAGAAAUGAGAAAUUACGGCCUUUGAUGUUUAGGCUCUGAAAUCUUUGAUCUGAAUGCAACAUGUGUUCCUAUUUCAUACAAAGAAAACUUGUUAGUUUAAAAAUAUGGUGGCUGGUUUGUGGAUUUGGCUUUCAUGGAAAUCGCGCUUGCCCCUAUCACAUUUAAUCUUGCUCUCAAGAAUUAGAAUGUGUCACUGACUUGCUGCAUCAUUGACCCGAAUUCAGAUUAUUAAGAGUGACUUUGAAACAGAUACAAUAUCUUUGAUUUGUCAUGUUUCUCAGAUAAACCUUUUGAACCUUGGUAUUUCCAUGAGUUCCCAGACUUGUCGGUUAACAAAACUCUCUGCAUGUCUUAUUUUGGCUCACAAUCAUGUAUCUUUCAUGUGUUGGCCUUUUGUCUUGCUUUGCGCAAUUGAAAAAGUUGAUAGCCAAUUUUGAAAUUUUUUUUCACUUGUUUUGACAUGGACUUGACUCAAAGACGAGAAAAAAUGACAAUGAUUUUAUUUGGACAACUGACUAAAGAAAAUAAAACAAAAAAUAAAGAGAAGAAAGCAAAGACAAUGAAUGUACCCAUUUGAAAUAAAGAAAUAAAAAAUUUAUCUAGAAAUGACAGUCAACUCUAAUGAUUAUGCCAUGUAUUUUUGGAUGAAGAUGUCUGAUCUUUCCAUCCAAACAUUCUACUAAUUGGUGUUGAGUUGAUGGCUCUAAAACUAAGUUACUUGCUUGAACCCAUUGCAUUCGAAGAGCUCAUUCGGCUAGUGGCACAUUGAAGGAUUUUUGCUAACAAACAUCUCUCAUUUUUCUCUCAUCUCACCAUCGCCUUAUGGUGCCCGUGAGGGUUUUCACCAAUAAAACUCUCUCAUUUUUAUCUGUCUUAACUUACUAUCACCUUAUGGUGCCCGAGAGAGUUUUCACCAGUAAGGCUCUCUCAUUUUUAUUUCUCUCCUAGUUUCUUAUGCUGAAGAAGAAGAGUAGUUCUUAAAAAUGUGUCAUAACAUCCAUUGCAUUCUUAGCCUUAACAUUCUCAAAGAUUAAUUCGAAGGUCUUUCUUUGGUUGUAACUUGACAUUUGGAUAGGUUUAGAAAAAAAGGAUGACAUAGGGCUCAAACGACACUUGAAGUGAGGUGGGAUUUGAAGUGAGGUGGGAUUUCCGAUGAGGAUGAGUGGUGUGUGCGAUUUCUAGUGUAGAAGAGAGAGGUGAGUGUGUCUUUUGAUGAAUAAGAAAGAAAAAGAAAAAAAAAUGUUUCUCUGUUGGUCCAGAGAAAGAAAGAAAAAUGGCGUGCCUUCCUUUUG
rnacentral:lncRNA from 1 species